AUAAUCGGCUAGACUUUAUAAACUUAUACUCUAAUUAAUGUUAAUUUAGAGUUAUUUUGGCGUUGAUUUUUAAUUUUAGGGUGAAAUCAGAAAUUAUUUUUAUCUUAACUCUAAAUUUUAAGAUUUAGCAAACAAACCAGAUUAGUACCUGGUUAGAUAAAAUUUAAAAGAGCAGGAGUAAAGUUGUAUUUAAACUGUAAGAAUAUUGGCAGGUUUUUAAAUUAUCUUUGGAGGCUGAGUAGUAAUUGAGAGCCCUCAUUUUCAACUUUUUCUUUAGGCGCAUGUAUGAUCGUUUAUUUUAUUCUUAAGGAUUGUAAUUCUAGUCUUUGCUGCAAAAAUAGAUAGAUAUCUGGCUUAUGGGAAAGAUUUAAUUUGGCCUACAAUAAUUUGGUUUUUGGACCCUAGUUGUAGAGACUAGGCAAAAUUGUAAAAGACAGUAAGCCGCUUUUAAUGGGCGGCUGAAGUUUAUUUAAAAACGGUACAAAUCAUCCAUCAAUUGCCUAUAGGGGAGUAAGUUGU
rnacentral:ncRNA from 1 species